GUUCACAGCAAACAAGAAACCAGUUUUCAUCUCAGCUACAAGGUUUUAUUUAACUUUAGCUUUGCUGUAGCUUUUUAUACUUUAGCCUUUCAGCCCAUUUUAGGACGUUUAAUGCAGUGAACGACCAGAAUCAUGAAUUCCUGCUUCAGAGCCUGAACGCAUCACAAUAACUGAUAAUUUUUUGUUUUUCGUAACAUAAUUGCACGUUGCUUCCCAGCAGGAGGUGUGAUAAUAGUUCUGUAAGGAUCCAAACGGACCGCAGUGAUGUUUGACCUGAACCACGGUGCCUCUGCCCGUCAUGUCUGUGACUAAAGCAACAUUUUAAUCACAUUAAAAUGUUUAGAUUUAAUAAACUGAAGCCAUCGGUGAGAUGAAGGUUGACGUUUUGGGUUCUGUGCGGCGCUGUGAUCAUGUCUGUUAAGGCUGGUGGUGCUGGGCGGGCCGGGCUUUGUGCCUGGAGGGGGGGUCUAGUUCUCCUUUUACUCGGCAUGCUGUGUGCUCGAACCCUACGGUGUGUCUGAGUUCUUAGUGGAUGAAAAUACUCGGUGGUUCCUUCAGUCACACUUUUCCACCGUCCAGCGCUGGAAACGGGUCACAAGCAGAACUUAACUGGACCUCCUGUGGUGAAAAAUGUCGGUCCUGAUCCAGUAGAAACAUAACCGAUGUAAAUCAAACCACAGCGAUCCUCCGGGUCAGUGCCGGGUCUGUAGAACCGGCUCACAUGGCCUGGUUCUCUUCGCUCUUUCAUGAUGAUGUGAGGUUGCUGGUUCUGACCCUGAGAGGAGGUUUCUGUCUGCACUGUGAUCCAUUCCUCCAAACAGAACCCGCUCACCCGAUUGGCCCAGAAUGUUCUCCUUCCUGUCUCAGUGUGAUGCCAGAACGUCCCUGUUGGCCUCUGAUGACCCCUCAGGUCUAACAGGCCGCUCUGCGAGGUUGUGCUGCAGCUCUACCGGGUCGGUACCGUUGUCCAGCUGCUGGGCCCGGGUCAGCGUCCCGCCUGCUGAAGACUCAGAGCUGCUGCCACAGAUGCGUUUGUGCAGUUUCUAAAAGCCGAGUCCAGUUCAGAGCUCAGCCGUGUUGGCGGCAGCUCCUCCUCUUCCUCACCUGUAGUCCUAACAGCUGCUGACCAAUCACUGCCAGCCUCUCACUGUUUGUUUCUCUCACCCCAGGAGCCUCGACCAAUCGGAGGAGGCUGAGGGUUCCAUCUGAGCGGCCACGGAGUAAAAAUAAAACCUGAAGUCUGAGAACGUGUCGGAGCACCAGGAGAACGAAGCUGUCUGACUCUCCACCGCAUUGAUGAAGAUUCUUAAUGCAGAGAUGCAGGUGAAGCUGCAGUACCGGGGCGUAUCCAGCAGGGGGCGAUCACCUGACGUCCAGUGGACAGAUUCUGUUUUUCUCUUAAAGAAUAAAUGGAGAGAAAACAGUUUGGUUGCUUUAGUCUGUUCCUGAUUAAAUGUUCAACUUGU